GAUGAACGCUGGCGGCGUGCCUAAUACAUGCAAGUCGAGCGAACGGACGAGAAGCUUGCUUCUCUGAUGUUAGCGGCGGACGGGUGAGUAACACGUGGAUAACCUACCUAUAAGACUGGGAUAACUUCGUGAAACCGUAGCUAAUACCGGAUAAUAUUAUGAACCGCAUGGUUCAAAAGUGAAAGACGAUCUUGCUGUCACUUUUAGAUGGAUCCGCGCUGCAUUAGCUAGUUGGUAAGGUAACGGCUUACCAAGGCAACGAUGCAUAGCCGACCUGAGAGGGUGAUCGGCCACACUGGAACUGAGACACGGUCCAGACUCCUACGGGAGGCAGCAGUAGGGAAUCUUGCGCAAUGGGCGAAAGCCUGACGGAGCAACGCCGCGUGAGUGAUGAAGGUCUUCGGAUCGUAAAACUCUGUUAUUAGGGAAGAACAUAUGUGUAAGUAACUGUGCACAUCUUGACGGUACCUAAACAGAAAGCCACGGCUAACUACGUG
rnacentral:rRNA from 1 species